CGUGUAGCCGGGCAGACAAGUCAGAUGUGAAAUCUGGAGGCUUAACCUCCAAACUGCAUUUGAAACUGCCUGUCUUGAGUGUCGGAGAGGUAAUCGGAAUUCCUAGUGUAGCGGUGAAAUGCGUAGAUAUUAGGAAGAACACCGGUGGCGAGGGCGGAUUACUGGACGAUAACUGACGGUGAGGCGCGAAAGCGUGGGGAGCAAACA
rnacentral:rRNA from 1 species